ensembl:lncRNA
UGCCUGCUGGACUCAGGCGCGGCGCUCGUAGUGUGCGGGGAAGCGGGGGAGAGCGGAGCCUGUGGACUGGCAGACCGUCGCUCGCUCGCUCGCUCGCUCGCUGGAGACUAUGCGCAGGCGCGGUGCACUGCGCGCCGGCACUAGGGUGUUUUUGCCGUUGGCUGUGGAGAAACAGCAGGCGGCGUGGACUGCCGUUGCUGAGCUGGUGUGGAAUGUCUGUGGUCAGAAAUAACCCAUCUUUAUGCAGAAUGAUAGAAUUUUGAGCUUCUUGAACCUGAUGCCUUCUCUAGUGAGGUUAAUGGGGCUUCUGCACAACAUAUGAACAGCCAAAGGAUUACCCUCUCCAGAUGUUGGUGCCUGGCUCUUGGACUUCCCAGCCUCCUAGAACUGUGAAAAAAAAAAAUUAAAGAAAUUAACAGGAGGUGGCCAAGAUGGUCAGCUAGAAGCAGCUAGUGUUUGUGGCUCUCACAGAAACGAAUGGAAGGAGAAAGUAAAUACAGCACCUUCAACUGAAACAUGCAGGUACUUGCUUUGGGAAUAAUCAAGGAAACACCUCAACCCACAGAGAACAGAGAAAAUCAAGGCAGGAAAAUGGCCCAUCUGGGAGCAACACAGAGCCAAGGGAACCUCCCCUGCCCAGGGAAGUGGUGAAUGAGUGUGUCACCCCAGGAAGCCACACUUGUUUCAUGGAUCUUUGCAACCCUUGGGUUGGGAGAUGCUGUUGUGAACCCGUUUCACCAGGGCCUUCAGUCUGACUGACACACAGAGCUACAGGGAGUCUGAGCAGAGCCCCCACAAGGGGAUACAUGGAGACUUGAGAGCGUUAGAUACUAGAUGGCUUUCUGGGCAUCCCAGCAAAAGCAAAUGCAACUCCAGCAAACUGGGAGGUGAGACACCCCAACCCAUAUAUACUCCUAGGAAAAAGGCUGAAUCCAGGGGGCUGAGCAGCAACAAUCUACAGGCCCCACUUCCACGGCACCUCACGGGACAAGACCCACUGGCUUGGAAUUCCAGCCAGCCACCGGUAGCCAAAUUGGAGCUCCUGGGGGAGGGGGAAGGGCACCAUCUUUGCUGUUUGGGCAACUUAACCAUAGCAACCUUUGGGCUUUGGAAAGUCCAAGCCAACCAGGGGCGGAAGGGAUUCCCCAGCGUAGCACAGCUGCUCUACAAAAACACGGCCAGACUUCUUUUUAAAGUGAGUCCCCGAUCCUGUUUCUCCUUUCUGGGUGAGGCCUCCCAGCUGGAGUCUCCAGCCACCCCUGCCAGUGUUCUUGGGCCAACAGAGUUUUGAAACCUCCCUGGGACUAAGCUUCCAGAAGGAAGGGCGAGCUGCCAUCUUUGCUGUUUGGGUGACUUAGCCAUUCCAGCCUUCAUGCCAACCAGAGGGUAGAAGUGGUACCUAAGUGCAGCACAGCUGCUCUAUGAAAAUGUGGCCAGACGGCUUCUUUAAGUAGGUCUCUGAUUCUGUUCUUCCUCAUUGGGCAGGACCACCCAACUGGAGCCUCCAGCCACCCCUGCUGGCAUUCUCUGGCCAUUAGCACCUGCAGGGAGACAGGAACCCCUGUAUCCACCAGCACUCUGCUACAGCUGCCACACCAUAGCACUCGCCAGCACAGUGGACCCUAAACCAUGAGGAGCCACAGGACAAUGGCAGGGCUUGAUGCAAGUCCCCCAGAGUUAGAGAACGCAGUCCAGGAGUUGGAAUCUGAGCUUUGGCCCCCUAAAAUCUCUCAAAAAAUGAAGCCAGUUGACAGAAUUCAUCUUAUACCACAAUCAAACCCUCAAGGUCAUCAAAUAGGAUAAAACAAACAAAAAACCCAAAGGUCAGCAGCCUCAAAGAUUGAAGGUAGAAGCCCACAAAGAUGAGAAAGAAUCAGCACAAGAAUGACAAAAACUCAAAAAGCCAGAGUGCCUUCUUUCCCCCAAAGGACUGCAUCACCUCCAGCAAAGGUUCAGAACUGGGCUGAGGCUGAGAUGGCUGAAAUGACAGAAGUAGAAUUCAGAGUAUGGAUAGGUACAAAGUUCAUUGAACUACAGGUGUAUGUUGUAACCCAAUACAAGGAAGCUAAAAAUCAUAAAACAUAGCAGGAGCUGACAGACAAAAUAGCCAAUAUAAAGAAGAACAUGACUUAGCUGAUAGAGCUGAAAAAUACAUUACAAGAAUUUCAUAAUGCAGUCACAAAUAUUAAUAGUAGAAGAAACCAAGCAGAGGAAAGAAUCUCAGAGCUUGGAGACUAGCUUUCUGACAUAAGGCAGACAAGAAUAGAGAAAAAAGAAUAAAAAGGAACUGAAAAAACCUUCAAAAAAUACGGGAUUAUGGAAAGAGACCAAAUCUAUAACUGAUUGGUGCACCUGAAAGAGAUGAGAAUAAAACCAACUUGGAAAACAUAUUUCAGGAUGGCAUUCAUGAGGACUUCCUUAACCUAGCUAGAGAGGCCAACAUUCAAAUUCAGGAAAUGCAGAGAACCCCCAGUAAAAUACUUCACAAGAUCAUCUCCAGGACAUAUAAUCCUCAGAUUCUCCAAGGUCAAGAUGAAAGAAAAAAUGUUAAAAGCAGAGAGAAAGGCAAGGUCACAUACAAAGGGAAGCCCAUCUUAUUAAUGCUGGACUUCUCAGCUGAAAUCCUACAACCCAGAAGAGAUUGGGGGCCAAUAUUCAAAAUUCUUAAAAGAAAUGCCAACCCAGAAUUUCAUAUCUGGCCAAACUAAGUUUCAUAAGCAAAGGAGAAAUAAGAUCCUUUUCAGACAAGUAAAUGCUGAGGGAAUUUGUUACCACCAGACCUGCCUUACAAGAGCUCCUAAAGGAAGCACUAAAUAUUGAAAGGAAAGACCAUUUACCAGCCACUACAAAAACACACUGAAGUACACAGACCAGUGACACUAUAAAGGAACCACAUGUAAAAAGUCUGCAAAAUAUCCAGCUAACAUCAUGAGGACAAGAUGAAAUCCACACAUUAUCAACACUAACCUUAAAUGUAAAUUGACUAAGUGCCCCCAAUUAAAGGACACAGAGUGGCAAGCUGGAUAAAGAACCAAGACCUGUUGGUAUGCUGACUUCAAGAUACCCAUCUCACAUGCGGUGACACACACAGGCUCAAAAUAAAGGGAUGAAGAAAAAUCUACCAGGUAAAUGCAAAACAGAAAAAGGCAGGGGUUUCAAUCCUAGUUUCUGACAAAACAGACUUUAA